rnacentral:lncRNA from 1 species
UUAUACUUGAUCCCACGUGCCUUCAAAAAUUAACCUCGAACUAGAGAAACAUCCCAGUUUAUUAAUUUGAAAUUCUUAAGACGCAAAUUCGGUUUCGUAUCACAUAACUGUCGCUGUAAUUGUAUAUCAACAACAUAAUAACUCUUUGUCUUUCUUUGUUUAACCAAUCAGUUUGGAAAGUUGUUACUAUUAUUGACGGCUACUCCGAAUAAGAUAUAAUUAACCCAUUGCUACUUAAGAACAAUGCUCAAUAUAAUCCAUACAAAACCGCGUUCUUACAUAUACCUGUACCUUUUGUUUUUCUUUUCUUUUCUGCAAAGACGCGCACACUAUAAUAUGAUGCAUGGUUGUGUGUAACCAUUCGAUCUAUAUUAGUUUGUCACAUAAUUGAAUUUCCUCUCG